UUGUUUUGUGUGGUUAAAAUAAAAACUUGUGGGGAUUUUAAUGUAUUUCUUUGGUGAAAAUACAUUAGUUGUUUGUCUCUAAUUGGAUCACUUUCCCUUCUAGACUCUGAACAGGAAGUGCCUCCUGGAACCACAGAGUCGGUUCAGUCUGUGGAUUACUACUGUGAUACGAUCAUUCUUCGGAACAUAGCUCCGCACACUGUGGUGGAUUCCAUCAUGACAGCACUGUCUCCUUACGCGUCUUUAGCAGUCAAUAACAUCCGCCUCAUAAAAGACAAACAGACCCAGCAGAACAGAGGCUUCGCAUUUGUGCAGCUGUCUUCUGCAAUGGAUGCUUCUCAGCUGCUUCAGAUAUUACAGAGUCUCCAUCCUCCUUUGAAAAUUGAUGGCAAAACUAUUGGGGUUGAUUUUGCAAAAAGUGCCAGAAAAGACUUGGUCCUCUCAGAUGGUAACCGCGUCAGCGCCUUCUCUGUAGCUAGUACGGCUAUUGCUGCUGCUCAGUGGUCAUCCACCCAGUCUCAAAGUGGUGAAGGAGGCAGUGUUGACUACAGUUAUCUGCAACCAGGUCAAGAUGGCUAUGCCCAAUAUGCUCAGUAUUCACAGGAUUAUCAGCAGUUUUAUCAACAACAAGCUGGAGGAUUGGAAUCUGAUGCAUCAUCUGCAUCAGGCACAGCAGUGACCACCACCUCAGCGGCUGUAGUGUCCCAGAGUCCUCAGCUGUAUAAUCAAACCUCCAAUCCACCUGGCUCUCCGCAGUACCUGACACGUCCACUUACCAGUAUGAUGAAUCUUCAGGAUAUUACUAUGAUCCGACAACAGGGCUCUAUUAUGA
rnacentral:sRNA from 1 species